UUAGGGGGUGACACACUGGGGAUUGGGGGGUUAAUGCGGUGACAGGUGUUAGGGGGUGACACACUGGGGAUUGGGGGGGUUGGGGGUUUAAUGGGGUGACAGACAGAGGAUGUGGAGUUGUGACAGUCAGGAGAUCAACACCCCAAAUGUAUAACCCCCAUUAACUCCCCUUAUCCCCUGUGUGUCACCCACCCCCAUAAACCCCCCCAUCCUCAGUGUGUCACCCACAUUAACCCCCAUCCCCUGUGUGUUACACUAUUAACCCCCCAUACCCAGUGUUUAACCCACAUUAACCCCCCUUCCCCUGUGUGUCACCCACUCCCAUAA